UUCCCACGGGAGGCCAGCACAGAAAAAAAUGUAUGAAAUUGUAUGAAAUGUAUGCAUUCACUACUGUAAGUCGCUCUGGAUAAGAGCGUCUGCUAAAAUGACUAAAAUGUAAGGUCAACAUGCAGGGAAACAUCUAUACAUUAGUGAAGGACUGGUCAACAUGCAGGGAAACAUCCAUAUAGUAGUGAAGGUCAACAUGCAGGGAAACAUCUAUACAGUAGUGAAGAUCAACAUGCAGCGAAACAUCUAUACAUGAUUGAAGGUCAACAUGCAGGGAAACAUCUAUACCGUAGUGAAGGUCAACAUGCAGGGAAACAUCUAUACAGUAGUGAAGGUCAACAUGCAUGGAAACAUCUAUACAGUAGUGAAGGUCAACAUGCAGGGAAACAUGUAUACAGUAGUGAAGGUCAACAUGCAGGGAAACAUCUAUACAGUAGUGAAGGUCAACGUGCAGGGAAACAUCUAUACAGUAGUGAAGGUCAACGUGCAGGGAAACAUCCAUAUAGUAGUGAAGGACUGGUAAACAUGCAAGGAAACAUCCAUAUAGUAGUGAAGGACUGGUAAACAUGCAGGGAAACAUCUAUACAGUAGUGAAGGUCAACAUGCAGGGAAACAUCUAUACAGUAGUGAAAGUCAACAUGCAGGGAAACAUCUAUACAGUAGUGAAGGUCAACAUACAGGGAAACAUCUAUACAGUAGUGAAGGUCAACAUGCAGGGAAACAUCCAUAUAGUAGUGAAGGUCAACAUGCAGGGAAACAUCCAUAUAGUAUUGAAGGACUGGUAAACAUGCAGGGAAACAUCUAUACAGUAGUGAAGAUCAACAUGCAGGGAAACAUCUAUACAGUAGUGAAGGUCAACAUGCAGGGAAACAUCCAUAUAGUAUUGAAGGGCUGAUCCACAUGCAGGAAAACAUCCAUAUAGUAGUGAAGUGCUGGUCAACAUACAGGGAAACAUCUAUACAGUAGUGAAAGUCAACAUGAAGGGAAACAUCCAUGUAGUAGUGAAGGACUGGUAAACAUGCAGGGAAACAUCUAUACAGUAGUGAAGAUCAACAUGCAGGGAAACAUCUAUACAGUAGUGAAGGUCAACAUGCAGGGAAACAUCCAUAUAGUAUUGAAGGGCUGAUCAACAUGCAGGAAAACAUC
rnacentral:lncRNA from 1 species